rnacentral:rRNA from 1 species
AGUGAACGCUGGCGGUAGGCCUAACACAUGCAAGUCGAACGGCAGCACAGUAAGAGCUUGCUCUUACGGGUGGCGAGUGGCGGACGGGUGAGGAAUACAUCGGAAUCUACUUUUUCGUGGGGGAUAACGUAGGGAAACUUACGCUAAUACCGCAUACGACCUACGGGUGAAAGCAGGGGAUCUUCGGACCUUGCGCGAUUGAAUGAGCCGAUGUCGGAUUAGCUAGUUGGCGGGGUAAAGGCCCACCAAGGCGACGAUCCGUAGCUGGUCUGAGAGGAUGAUCAGCCCACACGGAAACGAAGCACGGGCCAGACCCCCUAGGGAGGGCAGAGGGGGGAAUAUUGGGUAAAGGGGGGAAACCUGGACCACCCAAACCGGGGGGGGGAAAAAGGGCCUUGGGGUUUAAAAGCCCUUUUUUGGGGAAGAAAAAAAAGCAGGUUAAAACCCCGCGGUUCUGGCGGUACCCAAAAAAGAAGCACCGGUUAAUUCCGG